GUAAUUUAGGUGACUAUAGUGUUCAUUUAAGGGCACUUUUUCACUUUAUUGCCUUGUCUGUCUUUAGUUUGCAUUUUUAGUCCAUUUUUUUUCUAUGUGAUCUGCCUCUAUGUUUCUCUAAUAGUUGAGAGAAGUGGUUUUAUAAAUUGUAUGAGUUAAUUGGAUUUAUGAAAUUGAAUUCCAGUUCAUGUAUUUUCAGUAUCCUUUCUUAAAUGUUUGUCUACAAAAUAUGUUUAUUUAGAC